rnacentral:rRNA from 1 species
ACAGCAGUAGCCACGGUAAUACGGAGGGGGCUAGCGUUGUUCGGAAUUACUGGGCGUAAAGCGUACGUAGGCGGCUUUGUAAGUUAGAGGUGAAAGCCUGGUGCUCAACACCAGAACUGCCUUUAAGACUGCAUCGCUUGAACGUCGGAGAGGUGAGUGGAAUUCCGAGUGUAGAGGUGAAAUUCGUAGAUAUUCGGAAGAACACCAGUGGCGAAGGCGGCUCACUGGACGACUGUUGACGCUGAGGUACGAAAGCGUGGGGAGCAAACAGGAUUAGAUACCCCUGUAGUCCCUGUCUCUUAUAC